rnacentral:misc_RNA from 1 species
AAGCCUUUCAGUGUUUUCGCCUUUCACGAGGUGCCCUCCCGCUCACAACUUCCACCGUGACAGCGCCAUCUCGCCGUGGAUCCCACCGGCCCCCUUGUCGUCCACUUCCCAUUCGGUUGUUCGCCUCUCCGUUUUCUGCCGGUUGUCAUUUGUGUUGCCUCUACUUGUUUCCUGCCGUGGCCUCACUAUGUGGUUCCCACUGGAGAGCAAUCCGCAGGUGAUGAACCGCUACAUCAGCACCUUGGGUCUCACAGAAGCGAAGGUGCAGUUUGUAGACGUGUACGGUGUUUCGGACGAUCUACUUGAAAUGGUGCCUUCGCCGGUGCAUGCCGUGCUCCUCGUGUACCCCAUGUGCGAGGCCACGGAUAGACGCCUAGCGGAGCAGCAGGCUGCACAGACAGCGGAAGUUGCGGCGCUUCGCAAAUCACACCCUUUCUUCUUCACACACCAGCUCGUCCCGAACGCGUGCGGAACCAUCGCCAUCGCGCAUGCUCUUAUGAACAACCGCGAUAAGCUCGGUGAGAUCGCCGCCGGCAGCAUCCUCGACGGCCCGUGGGCGAAGGCGGCAGAAACGUCGGAAGAUCCCCAGAUCAUCGGAAAACUUAUUGCGGAAGACACGAGUCUCGCCAGCGCUCACGCCGCUGCUGCGCAGGAGGGCGCGACCGCCAACCAACACAUCGACGCGGACAUCGACCUUCACUUUGUCUGCUUCAUCCCCGUAGGCGGACGCUGCGUUGAGCUGGAUGGGCGAAAAGAGAACCCGAUCUUGCACGGUACCUGCACCGACAACAGGUCUUUCCUCACCGCUGCAGCCGCCGCGAUACAGGAACGCGUAGAGCUCAACCCCAGCUCCUACGAGUUUGGCAUCACCGCACUCGUGAACAAGUGAUAGGCCAGCCGCACAUUACCACCUUAUUGACCCUCUGUAUUCUCCUCAGUCUCGCGCUCCCCGCACGCCUUGAUGACGGCGGGCCGAUGAGGAGGGGGUGAGGUGGUGACCAGCUCAGCGCGUGGCUUCACCCGGCCCAAGUACCUCCACCAUCUCUGCGUGGGAGGAAGCCAAGCAAGCCGCCCCGCAUUUCUCCCUGCGAAGUGCGCAACCACCGGUGGUGGUGGCAGGGCCAAGCACACGCGACGUGGGGCGUGGAGGGCGAUGCAUGGCUGCUGAUGUCGGUGCGCCGGCCCGGGGUGACGCGGCGCCGGAGCGACCUGCGACAGUGAACACGUGUGCACCAUCCACAUGAUGGGCAGAGUGUCCGCGUGGCUGGAAGGCAUCCCACCCCCGGCCCUCGCGCAGCCUGCUGGUAUGCGGGUGUGGGUGGAGUUUGAGGCGUAGGCCGUGCUCUCGGAUGGCUUGGUCGGCGCGUUUGGCGUGGCGCGUGUGUGCUGCUGCACCGCACCAGGUAAUGUGGAGGGGGGGGAGGGGGGCUCUGACCGGCCGUGCGGGAUGGGGUGCAGUGUGGCGUUGUAGCUUGUGUCGCGCGGCCUCAUGCACUCGCUUGAAGAGAGGGGAAACGUUUUCGUGGUGCAUGCCCUCGUCUCCCUCAUGGAAGUUUGUCAGACGUGUCUUCGCGGGGGAGCGGUGCACCUGUAAAGGCAGUUUUUCGUAUCUGCAUGCGUGUGUGCUCUCUCUCUCUUUCCGCGUGGCUUUCAAGGCGGCCGUGUCGUUGGCCACGCCGCAAGGUUUCGCGCGCUGGUUCUGCUGUUUUUGUGCGUUGUAGUCAGCGCGCUUGUAGAGGACCGCUCAGGGGUGUUUGCCCCUCCCCCCGGAUGUGGAUAUCGGUGGAGAGUUUUCAGUGUGAAUCUUGCUGUGACCCCGUCUUUGGUGCUGGAUGCCUUUUCGGCUGCGCCGGCCUGAUGCUCUCGUGCUGGUGGUGUCCUGUUGGGGGAAGUUGGCAUGCGCUGCGGUGUUCAGAGCCGUACCGGGUGUUGCAGCGCUUUGUUGCAGGGGAAAGAGACGGCGAAAGCCGUGGCCCUCCCCGGUGCGGUUCGGCUUAGCCACCGGCAUGCAUGGGUGCAGAGGGGACAGCUUUCCCAAUCGACCGUUUUGGUUUACGUCGGCGAGUGAUAGACCAUUGGCCUGCUUAACUCGUAGCACUGCGAGUACAUGUGGAGGUCUUUCUGUCUGCCUCUAUGUGGGACUUAUUGAAGGCACUCCGCCAUGCCCUCCGUCCUCGCUUCUCACGUCUUUCUCCCUCUCUCCCUUCUCGAUGUCUUUCGGGGCUUCCACGGGUGCCGUUGCCGCCUUCGCGUCUCUUUCCUUAUGCUGUGCAAAGGUGAGCCUAGGAGUUCGUAAUAGUCUUGACUUUCUUGCCCCUCCCCCCCCCCCGCGUGACGCGCACUCUUUUUCUCACUCUCUCCAUGAGACGGCGUUCAUGCGAGAGCACCCAG